CAGCAACUUGAUCCUGAUUGCCCGAUUGACUAUUUAGUUUCUUACAUGCCAGUAAAAUGCAAAAACUCCUCAUCUACCAGCAGUAAGUGACCUUGGGCAAUGGGUGUCAACCCGACCCAGAAACAAGAUUAAGCGUCGGCAAAUCUCUGUGCCAGCAGCCGCGGCUAUACGAGAGACGCAAGUCAACGGUUCCCGGCGUAAAAAUGGUUAAGCCAUCACAUCCAAGAUAAAAUCUUCUUUCUCGCUGUCGUACGCCCACAAGAAGCAGAAUACUCUUGACAAACAAGCCAACCCAACAAAGCCAGAACAGAAACCGGGAUUAGAUACCCCGCUAUCUCUGGCCCCCACACGCUUUACCAACUCUAAUACCAGAAAACUAACCACAAAGUGAAAAACUCAAAGGAAUUGGCGGUGCCUUAGACCCAACUAGAGGAGCCUGCCCCUUAAACCGAUAAUCCGCGUUACCCCUUACCAAUCCUGGACUUCCCCGCCUGUAUAUCCUCGUCGCCAGUCUACCCUUUGAAGAAACCUAAGUAGGCUAAAUUGUUUACACACGAACGUCAGAUCGAGAUGCAGCUAAUGGAUUGGAGGAGGUGGGCUACAGUCCUCCCCAGAGACGAACCACACCCUUGAAAUAGGAGUAAGAAGUAGGAUUUAGCCGUAAUUAGGAAAAGUACAUCCUAAUGAAGCCGGCCCUAAGGUGCGUACACAUCGCCCGUCACUCCCCUCACACGGCCAAAAUUUAACUAAACUCUGCCUACAAAAGAGGGGAUAAGUCGUAACAAAGUAGGCGUACUGGAAAGUGCGCCUGGCACCGG
rnacentral:rRNA from 1 species